AUACCUUUCUCGGCCUUUUGGCUAAGAUCAAGUGUAGUAUCUGUUCUUAUCAGUUUAAUAUCUGAUACGAGGGUCAUCGACCCUCACGAUAUUAAUCUUAUUUCUUUCACGGGUGUGAGUCCAAUGGAGUAGCUUGCUGCUUCGGACUUGCCAGUGUCGCCUUGGUAUUGCACUAACUCCUUGGCCGGCGCAGCCCUC
rfam:Marchantia polymorpha subsp. polymorpha scaffold3218, whole genome shotgun sequence.